ACAGCAGUAGCCACGGUAAUACGUAGGGUGCAAGCGUUAAUCGGAAUUACUGGGCGUAAAGCGUGCGCAGGCGGUUAUAUAAGACAGAUGUGAAAUCCCCGGGCUCAACCUGGGAACUGCAUUUGUGACUGUAUAGCUAGAGUACGGCAGAGGGGGAUGGAAUUCCGCGUGUAGCAGUGAAAUGCGUAGAUAUGCGGAGGAACACCGAUGGCGAAGGCAAUCCCCUGGGCCUGUACUGACGCUCAUGCACGAAAGCGUGGGGAGCAAACAGGAUCAGAUACCCGGGUAGUCCCUGUCUCUUAUAA
rnacentral:rRNA from 1 species